UACGAAGGGUGCAAGCGUUACUCGGAAUUACUGGGCGUAAAGCGUGCGUAGGCGGUUUGUUAAGUCUGAUGUGAAAUCCCCGGGCUCAACCUGGGACUGCAUUGGAAACUGGCGAGCUAGAGUACGGUAGAGGGUGGUGGAAUUCCCGGUGUAGCAGUGAAAUGCGUAGAGAUCGGGAGGAACACUCGUGGCGAAGGCGGCCACCUGGACCAGUACUGACGCUGAGGCACGAAAGCGUGGGGAGCAAACAGG
rnacentral:rRNA from 1 species